UUCUAAUAUGGCAGAUUAGUGCAAUGAAUUUAAGAUUCAUUUAUGAAUAAAUAUUUUGUUAGAAA
rnacentral:tRNA from 1 species